UGGUUCAAGCUCCUCUAUCCCCA
rnacentral:tRNA from 1 species